rnacentral:rRNA from 1 species
AUUGAACGCUGGCGGCAUGCUUUACACAUGCAAGUCGAACGGUAACAGGCCGCAAGGUGCUGACGAGCGGCGAACGGGUGAGUAAUGCAUCGGAACGUGCCCAGUCGUGGGGGAUAACGCAGCGAAAGCUGUGCUAAUACCGCAUACGAUCUGUGGAUGAAAGCGGGGGACCGAAAGGCCUCGCGCGAUUGGAGCGGCCGAUGUCAGAUUAGGUAGUUGGUGGGGUAAAGGCUCACCAAGCCAACGAUCUGUAGCUGGUCUGAGAGGACGACCAGCCACACUGGGACUGAGACACGGCCCAGACUCCUACGGGAGGCAGCAGUGGGGAAUUUUGGACAAUGGGCGAAAGCCUGAUCCAGCAAUGCCGCGUGUGUGAAGAAGGCCUUCGGGUUGUAAAGCACUUUUGCCCGGAAAGAAAUGGCUCUGGUUAAUACCUGGGGUCGAUGACGGUACCGGAAGAAUAAGGACCGGCUAACUACGUGCCAGCCGCCGCAGUAAAAC